CCCAGCAGCCAUAUUGGUUUGUAAUGACAUGUGAUCACAGGCUAUGGGACAGCUGGGGCUGUACUUGGAUGGGAGACCUCCAGGAAAAGCCCCGGUGCUGUAGGAA
ensembl:rRNA 5S_rRNA 5S ribosomal RNA